GUCGAAUCUAUAUAACUGAAUUUACAAGCUUAACUGGUUUUGUUUAAGUUUAACUUUUUCAAAUUGUUAUUAUGUAGUUAAAUUAAAUUAAACUAAAAAAUCGGUUUUCUGGUGGUGCAAAGAUAAUCAACAAAAAUAAAAGUAGUUGCGGAAGAGAAAAAAGAUCCCUCAAGUAAAUUAGAGUGCUGCGAACUGGAUAUCUUUGACUGACUUGCUCUUACUUAUUUGGAAAUAGAGCCAUUGACUACAAUAGUGUUUUCUGAUGAAGAUAGUUUUUAUUGAAACACUUUUAUUGAAAGUAAAAUAAAGCCAAAUAUUCAAAACCUACUCUCUUAUUCCCAAAGUGUUAGGAGGUGUGUAAAAUUAGUUUCAAAUUGCAUCUAAUACUGUAUAUAUAAUUGAAGCCAGACAUAAAUCUUUACUAACAAAACUGAUUAGCUAAAAAUUGCAUCAUGGCUUUAUGAUGAAAGGUUAUCCGAAGAUUUAUUUGCUUAACUUUGUUACAUGCUUGAAAUAAAUAAUUAGUUUUGUAUUGUUUUUUAAAUGACUUGUUAAAUGAGUUAUUUGUAAAGGUUAUUCAAUACUCAAAUUAAUCUGAAAUUAUAUAUAAAGAUAUUCAUUUAA